rnacentral:piRNA from 1 species
AAGAACACAAGAAUAUGUAUA